GUUCUAGGACUGAUCUAAUAAUUCUACAAUAAAAAGUAGUAAGACCUCUAGUGGAAAUCCCGGCCCAGUAGGUACAUGCAGGCACUUUACAUGCAGAGCAUCACAAAAUUAGCAAUAUUCCAGGAUUUCGUUGCGAAAUGUUGUAGAAUGCGGAUAAUAUAGCCUUGCGAAGUUUGCAAUUUUCACCAUUUUGUAUUACGCGG